AGUGAACGCUGGCGGUAGGCCUAACACAUGCAAGUCGAACGGCAGCACAGUAAGAGCUUGCUCUUACGGGUGGCGAGUGGCGGACGGGUGAGGAAUACAUCGGAAUCUACUUUUUCGUGGGGGAUAACGUAGGGAAACUUACGCUAAUACCGCAUACGACCUACGGGUGAAAGCAGGGGAUCUUCGGACCUUGCGCGAUUGAAUGAGCCGAUGUCGGAUUAGCUAGUUGGCGGGGUAAGGCCCACCAAGGCGACGAUCCGUAGCUGGUCUGAGAGGAUGAUCAGCCACACUGGAACUGAGACACGGUCCAGACUCCUACGGGAGGCAGCAGUGGGGAAUAUUGGACAAUGGGCGCAAGCCUGAUCCAGCCAUACUGCGUGGGUGAAGAAGGCCUUCGGGUUGUAAAGCCCUUUUGUUGGGAAAGAAAAGCAGCAGGUUAAUACCCCGCUGUUCUGACGGUACCCAAAGAAUAAGCACCGGCUAACUUCGUG
rnacentral:rRNA from 1 species